CCACGGCCACGACUCCACUUCUGUGACCUCUCGCCGCCCCGCCCCGCCCCGCGGCGACACUCGCCACGCCGUGCGCGCUUAUGCAGGCGCCUGACCCGCCGUGUCGAGCGAGGCGCUGCGCUGGGCUCGCCACCGCCGCCGCCGCGCGUCGAUCGGGGCCAAAUAACAGCAAUAACCCGCGGCCCACACCGCCGCGCUCAAAGUAAUAACCGUCGCGCUGCACCGGUUUUUUUUCGGCGCGAGCGCGCGGCGGUCGCGGUAAAACCACGGCAGUUAGUCGUUCGUCUCUCUCGCACCGCUGCUCGCGCCGCGCGCGCCGCAUGUUCCGUCUCGCUCGCACACCAGUAGUAGUCACGUGUCGUCGCAAGCAACAGGUAGCCGGCGUCCUCGCCGCGCCGCGCCGGCCGCGCCUCACGUGAGGGGCACGGCGGCGUGGUGACGGUGACGCCCGCACCCGCACCGCACCGCGCGCCCGCACCGCACCGCACGGCAUCGGGACCAACGAGAUGCAGAGCGAUGCCGCGCCGAAGACACACGGCCACGACACACCGCCCCGGGUCACGUGGACGGGGCUACACGUGACCGGCGGGGAUACUCGCUCGCGAGUGUCGGCGCGGCGCACGACGUUAUACGGCCGACGGCUGCUUCGAAAGCACGGGGCGCCGCGAUGGUAUAGAGAAGACACACACCGGCAGCGCCACGGGGGCACUUGACGGCGCGGGUCCGAGUCCACCGCGGCGGUCGUCGUCGGGCACCUUGUACCCACCGCGGGGUCAGCGACUCGCGCCACUCCUCGCUAUCAGGAGACGCGACGGGCGACGGGAGCCACUCGAGCACGCGCUCCUCGUCGCGUCCCGGUGCAGCUCGUGCAGGCCCUCAUCCGCACCGGGCAACCUGAUCCCCGGGCCGGCCGGAGUCCGCGCGGCCAUAACGUCCGAUACGGCAGAAAGAGAAAGAGAGAGAGAGAGUGAGUGAGAGAGUAGAGAGUGUGAGCGAGAGAGAAAGAGAGAGAGAGAGAGGGGUGUCGCGCCAUCAAACCACUGAUGGCUCCUGCGGCUGUAUCGCUGACGGAUCUCAAUACCAGAUUGGGGAUGGUGAUUGUCGCGACGGUGAACGCCGCCGCUCUGGCCUCUCUCUCGCUCCCUCCUCCGGUUACCGAAAAAUAAAAAUAGAAACUGAAAAAAAUACGAAACAUUGGUCUCAUCCGCGUUGAUAGCGGGUAAGGUCAUAACUUAGGCGCGCUGUCCCGACGCGGCGGCAGCGGAUCGCCUCUCGCUACGACGAGAGUGACCGGGGAGAUAGGGAGUGGCCCUGCUGGGCUCACCGCCGGUAUCGACCCGCGCCGAGAGUGGUCACAGUCCAAACGACAAACCUCUUCAGGACGCUGCCUAUAUGUGCCCUGCGACGUGACAGAGUCGAGACCGGACCAACAAAAACAGGAGGCAUCACGUCGUGUCCCGAAGAGCCCCGCACCCUCGAAGUCCAACCCUUUGUGCCCUACGGCGAGCCGUACGGCCCUACCGGGGUCCAGGGUCCCCACAAGCGGUUUGUUUUUUUGACUGGCGAGACCGCUUCCGAGAUUUUUGGUCAGGCUGACCGUGUGCGCUACGGGCGAUGGAAGCCUCCCAAGACAGUGGCGUGACGCCCCGAGUGCGAGAGAGAGACGCUCCAAAGAGGUGUGACGACGCCCGCUCCUUGAAUGGCCCGCCUUGUCGGACCCAACAGCCUCCGCCUGGACCAGCUCGUAUCCAUCACGAUACGUAUAGUCGAAGCCUAUCCUCUCUCCCCCUUCACCGCCGACCUUUUUUUAUGCCCUUCCAAACGCGUUAUAUACGUUUUCCCGUCCACCAAUCAGCGAUUUUCACGACGCCGACAAACUGCCUCUAAUGGAGUUUGAGAGCCCCGGUCGCUUGUGUGUGUGAGUUUAUAAGCAGCAGCAGCAGCAGGCUCGAGGAGGUUUUCGUAUGAGAAAUCGUACGGCACCCAAUAUUUCUCCGCGACGCCGCCGCCGUGCAGAGUUUUCGCGCGGCAGCAACAAGACGCGCCCAUUUAUUCGCAUGGUUUUUGCGGCGGUGGCAGCCGCGCGCCUAACGAGCCAUCUUUAUGUCGCAGGCGAAGCGUGUGUCCAGGCUGGCCAACGCCGACCGCGCAAAAGCAAAAGCGGCGCGGCGGCUGCGGCGAAGGCGGCCCCCAACGGUUUCUUCAGCAGGCCGGCGCGGGGGCUCAUUCCUUAGCCAUGAUUGAUGAAUCAGGAUUGCAAGCGUCUUAUAUGAUGUGACCUGGAAACUACACAAACACGUUGUCUGUCCGGCCGGCCGCCCGUCGCCGCCACGCCCGCCUGCAGGCCGACGUUGCUGCUGCUGCUCGCCACUGUGGCUUCGCUUAUAUGUAGUAUAUAAUAACAACAACAACGUUCGGGCGACAGAAUGACGAAAAAACCAGACGAUUUACAUGAUUUUUAACAUUUUUUCUAAAGUCUAUUAAAAAGGUGGCCCUAGGACCCGCAUAGGAUAAGCCCCGGCAUAAGGGCGGCGGCUGGGACCGCCGCUGCUUCCGCGUUCCAUCACAGAUUCCUUCCUGUUCCUCCCCCAGGUGCGGCGGCUGCUUCCUACUCCGAUAUACAUACUCCAUACAUUACCCAUACAACACUGCGUACUUCCGCGUGGCCAGUAAAAAACGCAA